rnacentral:rRNA from 1 species
UUCGGCAAUGGGCGAAAGCCUGACCGAGCAACGCCGCGUGAACGAAGAAGGUUUUCGGAUUGUAAACUCCUGUCUUCGGGGACGAUAAUGACGGUACCCGAGGAGGAAGCCACGGCUAACUACGUGCCAGCAGCCGCGGUAAAACGUAGGUGGCAAGCGUUGUCCGGAAUUACUGGGUGUAAAGGGAGCGCAGGCGGGUCGGCAAGUUGGAGGUGAAAGCUGUGGGCUCAACUCACAAACUGCCUUCAAAACUGCCGGUCUUGAGUGGUGUAGAGGUAGGCGGAAUUCCCGGUGUAGCGGUGGAAUGCGUAGAUAUCGGGAGGAACACCAGUGGCGAAGGCGGCCUACUGGGCACUAACUGACGCUGAGGCUCGAAAGCAUGGGUAGC